CGCCGCUGUCAACAUGUGCAUGUGAAAACGAAAGUAGAUUGUUUAUCUAGGAAUUAUUACAACAUUUUACCCUUCUACGUUGAAUUUUUAAGAUAUAAAAGUAUGAAUAUUGAGAUGAUUAUUUAGUUACCUUCAACUGGUCAGUGGCCAAAAGGGAGUAUUUCUGUGUGCCUUGAAGCAUUUAAUGCCCCAAAACAACCAGUAUGAUAAGAAGACCAGAGUAUACAGCUUCCCAAAAUGUUGAAAGACUAAGUUGUUUUUCUAUGGACUUUUAAGUAUUUUGAAUGUUUGAUUUCUCUUUCUUUUAACCUUAUGAUUGAAUAUUUCAUUUCAAUUAGUCAUGACACUUUUUCUAGUAAUUUGCAUCUACAUUUCAACAUGUUUACGCAUUUUGUUUACACAGAAAGAUAUUUUUUACUUCUUUCAUUCUAGGUAUACUGUCUAGGUUGAAAACAGCCACAGACAAUGAAUUUGGAGGUGCAUGCUGGAGCAUCAGAAAUUACAUACUUGGAAUGAAUAAUUGCACAAUACACAUUUACUUAGAAGUGACUAAUGUUUAUGUUAAAGUGCAAUAUCCAUAUUUGUAACAUUUACUUGGGGGUAAUAGUUACAGUGUUGAAAGAGGCUGCCAGUGUUACAUUUCAGUCUAAGUUACAGUGUGGGUGCUAAUUCUAAAUUCUUGAUAAUCAAGUGCUUUUAAUAACUUAUGAAUACUAAUUAUUUAUCAAACUGUUUAAUUUAUCACAUUCCUACAUCUUCAUUUUAUAUAAAAUGCUUGUAGUUAUAUAAUAUAUGUCAGGUUAAAUGGUAAUAAAUUUUGUUUCUGUGUAAAUAUCUUGCUUUUUGAAAAAUGAAAAUGAUACAUUCAGUGGCCAUCAUCUGUCAAAAAGUUAUUAUAAAUGCCUCAAAACUGAUGAAAAGUUAUGCAGUAACUUUUCACAAGUUCAUGGAAUAACAUACUAUCCAUAACAUUGUAUAGUUUUCCUAACCUGUAUCUGGGGCCAUCAUAAAUUAAUUGCUAGAGUAAAUUUUCUUCACAAGGGAAAGGAAGUUUUUUUUUAAUUUAUUUUUUAUUUCAGAUAUUUUAUUUUUGCUUUAAUGAGGAUGUAAAGAGAAAAACUGACAUAAUUAUAAUAGUUAUUUUUGUCAAAUGGAUUUGAUUAUAAGCAAUAAUAACUGAAAGUUGAUAAUUUAUAACAUUCUUUAUAGAAAUAUUCCAUAGAUGAUCUUGGAAACUAAAAAUAGUGGAUGAUAAUGGAUGAUAAUCUAAGUUGAUGAUAAUCUAACAAUUAAUAUAGUAUGGCCAUACAAAUAUAAAUCAAUAAAUACUUACUGGCAAUAAUAUUGGUUAAUUAUGA